AGCAGCCGCGGUAAUUCCAGCUCCAAUAGCGUGUAUUAAAGUUGUUGCAGUUAAAAAGCUCGUAGUUGAAUUUCGGGGUCAGUAGGUUGGUCAUGCCUUUGGUAUGUACUGGUCUCACUGAUUCCUCCCUCUUGAAGAACUGUAAUGUCAUUAAUUUGGUGUUGCGGGGAAUCAGGACUGUUACUUUGAAAAAAUUAGAGUGUUUAAAGCAGGCUUACGCUUGAAUACAUUAGCAUGGAAUAAUGAAAUAGGACGUUUGAUCCUAUUUUGUUGGUUUCUAGGAUUGACGUAAUGAUUAAUAGGGAUAGUUGGGGGCAUUAGUAUUCAAUUGUCAGAGGUGAAAUUCUUGGAUUUAUUGAAGACUAACUACUGCGAAAGCAUUUGCCAAGGAUGUUUUCAUUAAUCAAGAACGAAAGUUAGGGGAUCGAAGACGAUCAGAUACCGUCGUAGUCUUAACCAUAAACUAUGCCGACUAGGGAUCGGAUGAUGUUAAUUUUUUAAUGACUCAUUCGGCGCCUUA
rnacentral:rRNA from 1 species